GAAUUCAGGUAAUCGCUGCAACAUUGUUGUAGAGGAAAGUCCAUGCUCGCACGGUUCUGAGAUGACCGUAGUGUUCGUGCUCGGCGAAAAGAUAAGCCGGGGCAGCGUAUUUUCAUACGCUGACGGCGGGAAGAAAUCCUACGUUCCCUUUGGGAAUAUGGAUGACAUUCCCUGAAAAGUGCCACAGUGACGUAGCCGGUUUGGAAACAGGCCGGGUGGAACGAGGUAAACCCCGCGAGUGAGAAACCCAAAUUAUGGUAGGGGCGCUCUUCGGAAGGAAAUGAACGGACGAAGGGACAGAUUUAGUCUGUAGAUAGAUGAUUACCACCCUAAGUACGAGGCGAGAGCCGUUUGAGUACACGGGAACAAAACAUGGCUUAUCGGA
rnacentral:RNase_P_RNA from 1 species